rnacentral:rRNA from 1 species
AAUGAACGCUGGCGGCAUGCCUAACACAUGCAAGUCGAACGAGACCUUCGGGUCUAGUGGCGCACGGGAGCGUAACGCGUGGGAAUCUGCCCUUGGGUUCGGAAUAACAGCUAGAAAUGGCUGCUAAUACCGGAUGAUGACGUAAGUCCAAAGAUUUAUCGCCCAGGGAUGAGCCCGGGUAGGAUUAGCUAGUUGGUGGG